rnacentral:lncRNA from 1 species
GGCCGCUGCACGUGAUUGAGCGCAACUGCGCUAAUUUUUUCUUUUUUUCUCAGUGUCUGGAUGAAGUCGGAAUGGAGUGAUGAUGGUCAUUACAUCACUUUUUUAUACAGGCAAUUUCUGCUGGGCGAUAGAUUGUUUCUGGAGAUACGGGCUGUGAGAGUGGAGAGGGCGAAAUUUCUGAAGGCAAAAGAAAAGAAAGUCAGACAGGUUUGGAAAGACAUGAGGGUGAUGGGACGCAGCCAUAAAAAGACAUCUGUUGUUGAAGCGUACAGGAGCCCGAUGAGACCACGCUUCUUUAAUUAACCAGGCCUUCUCUAAAGCGCCACCAGAGAGAUGAGUGAUCUUUGUAAGACACCGGCGAUAUUUAAUAUCUGAUUAAAAUCAGCCUCACGAUAAGAUUUUACAACGAGGCACUUAAGAGUACAGUAAAUGUGAAGCUCUUUAAUGUGGA